GCAGCAAUCAGCAUUUCUUUAGCACAUGAAUCUGUGGGGUUCAGCUGACCUGGGCAGGGCGGACUUGUGUAUCUGCAGUGACCUGUGGGUAUGCCAAGCAGUUCUGCAGACCUCAUCCAGACUCACUCACGUGUCUGGGGGCUGGAGUGAAUCUUCUAAAUUAACCCCAGAAUAGCUUCAAGAGAGGAACAGGAGGGACUUAAGAUUGUGAAGGUGGAGGAAGAUGUGAUCUGGGACCAGGAAACCUACCAUCGAGAGAACAACUUUUCUAGCCAGAAGGCCUCCUGAAAACUUUUUAGGCACUUUUGUUAUCAGACUCCUGGACCCCGCGAGGCGCUGAGCCGGCUCCGGGAGCUCCGCCGUCAGUGGCUGCGGCCCGAGACGCACAGCAAGGAGCAGAUCGUGGAGCUGCUGGUGCUGGAGCAGUUCCUGACCAUCCUGCCCGAGGAGCUGCAGGCCCGGGUGCGGGAAUAGCACCCGGAGAGCGGGGAGCAGGCGGUGGCUGUGGUUGAAGAUCUGGAGAAGGAGCUUAGUGAGCCUGAGAACCAGGUGAGAGGAGGAAGAUGGGCUCCCAGACGCUGAGUUCUAAACGAAGGGUGAAGUUUGCUGCCUCAGCGGGCUGGCUGCAGCUGGUUCUCAGCUGCUGUGUAAUGAACUGUCCCCAAGCCUAAUGGCUUAAAAAACCCAAACAUUAUCUCUUGGUUUCUGUAAGUCAGGAUUUAGGAAGCAAGUUAGGAGGACGUUUCAUGAGUUUGCAGUGAAGAUUUUUUUUUUUUUUUAACUUGGCGUCUCUUUUUUACCAGUCCUGUAAGGGUGGGGCGAUCUAAUCCACUCUUGAGGUGGAGAGGGAAACUGAGGCACAGAGCAACAGGGCCAUUCAGUGAGUCAGGGCCCAUUACCCAGAACCCAGUCACGGUGAGGUGAGGUAUAGUGCUGGGGUUGCAGAGCUCCUUCAGGAUUGCCUGUUUCAGCCCCAGGCAGUGGGGACCCCACUCCCAGAGAGCAUCUGAAGGCUUGGCCGGGCUGGUGGAUCCACCUCCAGGUUGGCUCCCCUCCAUGGUUGCUGGGAGGGGGCCCCAGUUCCUCACCGGCUGUUGGCAGGAGGGUUCAUUCCCUGCCAAGUGGAUUUCUGCCUAGGGCUCACUGAGUGUCUUCCUGUCUGAGAGAGAGAGAGAGAGAGAGAGAGAGAGAGAGAGAAUGAGGAGGAGCCACAGUGCUUUGUAGGACUUGGUCUCUCCGGUCGUGUACCGUCACUUUUGCCACACAUUCUCUGCCGUAGAAACGAGUCACUAAUACAAUUCCCUCUCCAGGAGGGGGAAUUAGGCUCCACCCUUGAAAGGAAGGCGUGUCCAAGAACUUAGGAGCAUACUUGAAAGCAGCACCAGCACGCCAGGCGACCUUGUUCCCCGCCAUCUGCUCGUGGGCGUGGGAUCACACUCUGGGCCUCGCCCUGUGCCAUUUCUCUACGGAAUGUGUCCUCCGGCUCCAUGUGAUGUCUUCCGUUGAGUUUUACCCU
rnacentral:lncRNA from 1 species